AUUGAACGCUGGCGGCAUGCCUUACGCAUGCAAGUCGAACGGCAGCACGGGAGCUUGCUCCUGGUGGCGAGUGGCGAACGGGUGAGUAAUACAUCGGAACGUACCCUGAAGUGGGGGAUAACGUAGCGAAAGUUACGCUAAUACCGCAUAUGCUCGCAAGAGUAAAAGCCCUCGGGCGCCAGUAGAUCGGCCUGCGGCCCAUUAUUUAGUCCUAGUUGGUAGGGUAACGGCCUACCAAGGGUACGAUGGGUAGCUGAUCUGAGAGGAUGAUCAGCCACAUUGGGACUGAGACACGGCCCAAACUCCUACGGGAGGCAGCAGUGGGGAAUAUUGGACAAUGGGCGAAAGCCUGAUCCAGCCACGCCGCGUGAGUGAUGAAGGCCUCGGUUGUAAAGCUCUGUCGUAGGGGGACGAAAGGGGGAAACCGUUUAGACGGUACCGUUACCAAGGAAGCACCGGCUAACUCCGUGCCAGCAGCCGCGGUAAGU
rnacentral:rRNA from 1 species